UUUUCCUCCUUGCUGUGUGCCCGUGGGAGGCGGCAGACAGAGUCCGUGGGGGUUAGGACACCCGACCCCCCCCACCGCAGGGAAGGGGGAAGCCCAGCGAUCCGCCUGGAUUCCCAAUUCUACGAGAAAGGGCUCAGCUUGAAGCAGGACAUCGUGACGCCCCUGCACCUGUUUUCAAUCCAUAAUUAUUGUGGGUUACAAUAAAGAGGAGAGAGAGAGAUUCA